UGAUCUCCGUGAAUUUUGUGAUAAAGCCAUCCACAGCGUAGAAAAAUUAUUCAAAUUCCGUGCACUUUGAACAUUUCAUCUUUCAUUAUUAUUCUGAGAGCUUUAUCAUCUUCGGCAUUUCUUCGGCUAUCUGUCUGUGGGUUUUCUGCGAGCUGGCAAAAAUCUCAUCCGGUGACUGUUAAUGGCAUUUUUCCACAUGAGGCACGGUUUGUUCAUGUUGUCAGCUCGUGACUGUUGAAAAUGUGAGCAUUCGAUACGGCCAGAGAGAAAAGAUGAUGCAACAAGUGCUUCAACGAGUUUUUGCCCCCCAGAAAACAUCUUGAAUCUGGAAUUUCUCUUCUUCUCCAGCCAAUUUUGUAUAUCACAAAAAAAGAUCGGAUGAAGCUGUUCCCUGAAUUCAUGCAGAGAAUGUCUGGGGCACACGUGAGAUUUUCUCCCCCAAAGGAGUUCAAGACAUUGUCUAAAUGGCAUCCACGGAUCUAAAAAUAA